GGGCAAUCCUGAUCUAGCCAUGCCGCGUGAGUGAUGAAGGCCUUAGGGUCGUAAAGCUCUUUCGCCUGUGAAGAUAAUGACUGUAGCAGGUAAAGAAACCCCGGCUAACUCCGUGCCAGCAGCCGCGGUAAUACGGAGGGGGUUAGCGUUGUUCGGAAUUACUGGGCGUAAAGCGCACGUAGGCGGAUCAGAAAGUUGGGGGUGAAAUCCCGGGGCUCAACCCCGGAACUGCCUCCAAAACUCCUGGUCUUGAGUUCGAGAGAGGUGAGUGGAAUUCCGAGUGUAGAGGUGAAAUUCGUAGAUAUUCGGAGGAACACCAGUGGCGAAGGCGGCUCACUGGCUCGAUACUGACGCUGAGGUGCGAAAGUGUGGGGAGCAAACAGGAUUAGAUACCCUGGUAGUCCACACCGUAAACGAUGAAUGCCAGUCGUCGGGUAGCAUGCUAUUCGGUGACACACCUAACGGAUUAAGCAUUCCGCAUGGGGAGU
rnacentral:rRNA from 1 species